rnacentral:rRNA from 1 species
AGAGUUUGAUCCUGGCUCAGAGCGAACGCUGGCGGCAGGCUUAACACAUGCAAGUCGAGCGGACCUUUCGGGGUCAGCGGCGGACGGGUGAGUAACGCGUGGGAACGUGCCUUCCGGUUCGGAAUAACCCUGGGAAACUAGGGCUAAUACCGGAUACGCCCUUAUGGGGAAAGGUUUACUGCCGGAAGAUCGGCCCGCGUCUGAUUAGCUAGUUGGUGGGGUAACGGCCUACCAAGGCGACGAUCAGUAGCUGGUCUGAGAGGAUGAUCAGCCACACUGGGACUGAGACACGGCCCAGACUCCUACGGGAGGCAGCAGUGGGGAAUAUUGGACAAUGGGCGCAAGCCUGAUCCAGCCAUGCCGCGUGAGUGAUGAAGGCCUUAGGGUUGUAAAGCUCUUUUAUCCGGGACGAUAAUGACGGUACCGGAGGAAUAAGCCCCGGCUAACUUCGUGCCAGCAGCCGCGGUAAU